rnacentral:lncRNA from 1 species
UAGAAUUAAGUUAGAAUACUUUUAGAAGUAUCAUUCCCUUGGUGCUUUUGAGUUUCUAGCCCUUGGAUCUACUCCUUGAUUACUAAUAACCUUUGGAUCAAAUACUAUUCCACCUAUCACCACCUACCACCAUCAUCUCAACCCUACAUCUGUCCAUCCAAUGGCUAAAAAUCCAAAAACACCAACCCCUUAGUGCUUUUGAGAGUAUUUUUUCAUCCAAGAGCGAAAAACUUGGUAGCACCAAGUGCUUGGUGCUAUUAAUAGCAUUCCAGCCUAGUUCUAUAUAUGAGUUCGGCUGAGAUACUAUCGAUAGCACCAACCACUUGGUGCUACUAAGUUUUUUGCCGUUGGACUUAACCCUGUGACUAUUUUCACCCGUUAGAUUAUACUAUUCAAUCAACAACUCAAUCAACACUAGGGGGCCCACAUCAUCCUAACCAUAUAUUUUUUCAUCCAAGAGCGAGAAACUUGAUAGCACCAAGUGCUUGAUGCUGUUAAUAACAUUCCAGCCUAAUUCUAUAUAUAUAUAUAUAUAUAUAUAUAUAUAUAUAUAUAGUGCACACAGUCGCAUCUNAGCUCAAUUCUAUAUAUAUAUAUAUAUAUAUAUAUAUAUAUAUAUAUAGUGCACACAGACGCACCUAAAUUUAGGUUUGAUUCAAGUUUGGGAUGGAUACACUCUCUAGAUUAUUGCUAAAAGAGUAUACAUAAACUAAUAAAAAUACCCUAUGUUAUAUUUAUAAAUCGGCCGUCUAUAAAAAUAAUAUUCUUAAAAACCUUUUAGAUAUACACCAUUACGAUUGGUUUUUUUUUUUUGAAAAUGAUUAAGUAGUACUUACACAACAAGACAGCAGCAAUGAUCUUGAUAAAUAAAGUUAAUUUCCUAUAGAUCCCUACAAAUAUAGUGAAUUACAAAUAUAUUUCUACAAAGCUCAACUCUCAUAUGUUGUCUCUACACAAGUUCUAAUAUUUUCAAGUAUGUCCUGACAUUAUGAUCCGUUAGAAAAAAUUAGUUAACCGUAAGUAAAAUAUUUAAAUCUAGUUAGUUAAUAAGAUGAAUUGACCUUUUUAUCUCUCUUUAAUUAAUAAUUGAGACUUUUGGAGGGAUAUAUUUGUGAUGCCACACUUAUAAAAUAAAAAGUGUUUUAAGAGUAACAAAUUAAAAGAAUAUAUUUAAAAAUAUUAGAACUUUUAAAGAAACAAUAUAUGAAAGUUUAACUUUAUAGAAAUAUAUUUACAAUUCGUUAUAUUUCCAGCAAUAUAUAUAAAAUUAAUCCUUAUAAAUAUUUUAUAUAUAUAUAUAUAUAUAUGUUAUCACAGUUCAAUCCAACGUGGCUGCACCAUCUGUAUUUGGCGGUAGGAAGAGUUGGGUGGGGCCCACUUUUUUUUUUAUUUUUCCGACCCAAAUCAUUUUUGUUUCUCAUUUUCCAUUAAUCUCUCUCACAUAUAUUUUGGCGGAGAGAACAAAAAUUAUCUGAAAAGGAUUUUUCAAAUUAUUCGUUUAAGAUUAUGAGACCUAUCGCCACGUAGUUAUUAUUAUAUAGAUUUUAGAUAUAGAUUUUAGGGAAAACUUCAAAUACCCUCCGUGUGGUUUCGCACUUUCUCACUUUAGUAUCCUGUGGUUUAAAGUUUAUCAAGUUAGUACCCUGUGGUUUCGCACUUUUUCACUUUAGUACCCUAUGGUUUCAAGUGUAUCAAGUUAAUACCCUAUGGUUUUAUUUUUGUAUCAAGUUAGUACUGUGGUUUUAAUUUUCUUUUUUAUUAUUCAUUUCGGACUAUAUAAUUUAACAAAAUAUUAAACUACAGGAUACUAAAGUGAGAAAGUGCGAAACCAUAAGAUACUAACUUGAUACACUUGAAACCAUAGGGUACUAAAGUGAAAAAGUGUGAAACCAUAGGGUACUAACUUGAUACACUUUAAACCACAGGAUAUUAAAAUGAGAAAGUGCGAAACCACAAGGGGCGUAUUUAGAGUUUUCUCUAGAUUUUAUAUCUCAAAACAAUUUGGUAAGAUAAUUGAAAUCUCCCUUCCUUUUUUCAACUAUUAGCAGGUACAAUUUUUUUUUAUAUCUAUUAACUAAAAAAAAUCAUAAUAUCUACAAUAAAAAUUACAAUAAGAAUUUCAAUUUCUUUGGUGAAUUCCUAUUAUAAUCAUUUUAGCAAAUAAACUGUAAUAUUUAAUAACAAAAACUUUUAAAAAAUUGCUAAAUCUAAGGAUGAAAAUUUUUAUACAUUUUUAUCUUUUUAAUUUAUAUAUUCAAUAAUUGUUACUCCUAAUCUUGAUUAUAAAAUACCCAUAAUGCCAAUACACUGUUUCAACCACAAAUCCCUGCAAUUUACACGCAUCGAAAUUAAAUCGUUUUUUGAAUAAGAAAUUGAACCCUUUUUUUUUUGAAUAAAUAAAUAGAAUCAGAUCCAAUCCAUUAAUUGGCCCAUUUGAGGCGUAUCCAGUACACAUGCGGUGGAUCCCCAUACGACAAAAAAGUAGCCGUUACUCUUUUUUCUUUUUUAAAAAAAUUUGAAAAUUAGUUCAUGGGAGCGUUGCUACAAUCUCUCUCUCUAUAUAUAAAAAAAAAACGUAAUCUCUCUCAUACGAAGAGACGAGCACAAGCCAAAAAGGCGAAAUUUGAAGCUCUUCUCACAGCUUUUUGCAGAGUAAAAAAAAAAAAAAAAAAAAAAAAAAAAAAAAAGUUGAUUGUUUUCAUGAGACCCCUCUCUUCUCCUCUGGUACUGUCUCUCUCUCUCUGUUUUAUGAUCUUAUUAUGGUGUUGGUAUAAAUAUAAAAGCUUUAUUUAUUCUGUAGGAAAUUUUAGAUACUAAGGAAGAUGGAGAUGAGGAGAGUGAUGUCAAUUGUGGCAUGGGCAUUGAAGAAAAUGAAAAUGAAGUUUUAGAAGAAGAAGAAAUCGUGUUCGCACCGAUAGAGCAUCCCGUCGAACCUCCCGACGACGACCGGCCCGCCAAGUGCCCGAUGCCGGAGUCUUGCCCCCUAACUGUAAGUAGUUUUCGGAAUGAGCGGUAUCAUCGGCGAAGCUGGUUUUGAUAUUCACAUGUAGAUUCACUGAAUCUGAUCGCUGGUUUACUGAUUGAGUUGUUUCUAGUAAAUUUAAUUCGUAAAAAGUGUUGGUGAAGUAGCAGAAUUAUUAUAGAUCUUCAACUAAUAGUAAUACUACAUUACCAUGUGUUAUUUUCAUUUUCAAACUUAGAUAAAAAGUAUUCAUAGUCCAUUUAUAAGAACAUAUAAAUUCUGAAUCAACCUCCGAACUCAAGUCGUAUGAUAAGUUAGCAACAUACUUGUGAUUCAAAAUAUAGAAUAUAGGAAUAAUAACUUACAUAUACUCUUCAAAACUUCAAAAAUAUUUCAUAUAGCUCUGGUUGAAUAAAAUAUCCUUAUUAACUUUCAAAAAUCCCUUCAAAUACCGAAAGUUAUUUUGGUAAUUUCAAAGCAAAUCUAAAAGUUUUUAAUAGUAGUUAGGGAUAAAUAAGCAAAAACUCAACGGCCCCUAGAAUAUAUGACAUUUCUAGAAUAUUACAAACUUUGAAUCAAACAACCUCUAAAUGUCAUCUCAAGAAAAUGUCUUUAUAUUUAUAAAUUUUAAAGGUUGGUAGAAGUAGAAGCCCUAAACUCUUGAGGUUUUAAGCCCUAAACUCUGUGAGGUUUUUUUUUUUCUUUUGAAAAAAGGUAGUGUGAAUAAUUAACAAUCAAGUUAUUAGACAAUGCAAAUUUGAAAUUGACACUAAAACAUAAGUUGACUAACUCUCAAGUUGAUAUUAAUUUUCUUUGAUAUAUGUAAUCACCGACGAAAAUCGGUUAAAAUUGGUUUAUGCCAUCUAAAAUCAAUCAAUCAAAAGUAUAUUAAGGUUUUCAUAUCAAAAAUUAGUUGAUUGAGUCGAGUAGGGUAAUGGCAUGCAAAUUCACUAAAUUGUAGUUCUUACUUCUCCUUCUAGCUAAUUCGAGUAGGGUUCUCCGAUCAUAAGAUCGAUUUAAGUUGAUUAAGGAGCUCUUCAACUCGGUCGAAUCGAGCUUCACCUGAACUAAUUUUGGGUCUAGUUGUGAUUGGACUCGCGGGAUCGAAACGAGUUAGAAAGCGGAAUUUGGAAUAUGCAGCUUUAUUUCUUCUGAAAACCUCCGAACUCAUUUACAUACAGCUUGUGAUUUAGUUAAUUUUUUCCUUCUCUUUUUAAAUCUGUAAGGAUGAAGGAGAAUUGAAGGAAUCAUUCAAGGAGAUCUUGCAAAAGGAAGCAGAAUUGUUGGUAGAAAUUGAAGAAAGUGCGGAUCAGCGACGUUCUGCGAAGGCCGAUCGGAAAAGGCAUCAUAGUGGUGCCACUGGAGAUCCUCCAAAGUUUCCGCAGUACAAUAUUUUUCAAGUGUUUCAACAAUGUAAACAACAUUAAGAUCGAAAAAAGCGCUUCGACGCAUCAUUGUAUUUAAAUGAUUGGUUUGGUGCUUUCUUGUAACUAGAUAGAUUGGUCCAAUGAUGAAAGUUGUGUCAUCUUUAAAAAGGUGUACAUGUAGAUAUGCAGAAUUAAGUAUUAGACUCUGCCCCCAACUAAAGCUGGGAAUUGGCCUCUCAAAUUUUGAAUGGUAACAAAGCCCAAUGGUAAUUCUUUUAAGCCUGAGAAGGUUUUUGAAUUUCUUUUCUUUUUUUUCUUUUUUUUUCCCUUUUUUAACUGUGUCUGCAUAAUUUUUUAGUACCUGGAUGCCGAGAAUUUACUAUUUGUUGGUAGCACUAUUGUGAUCCAAGAGCUAAGAAGUUAAUAAUAGACACUAUUCUCUAUUCAUCGACUAUCAAUAGCAUUUCAACUAUGUUUAUUAGCCUGAAGCCGGAAACACGACCCCCGAAUUUAAGCUCAGACGGGUCUUAAACCCUUGACCUCAAAAUCGGCAUGCAAUUACAUAACUAUUAAACUCCCGACGGUUAGAUAGAUAUAUAAGAAUUCGUAAGUUUCGGUACUACGGACUUGUCUACAAUUCACUUGACUGCACAACGGGGCGAGGAGAAAAGAUGGUUCAUGCAGCAGUGUUUGUUGAAUCCCAAAUCGAGGCGAGAGCGAAGAAGCAUGCUAUCCUCGCGAACUUCAGUAGCCUAUUCUGCUUUCUAAAUCAGCAAACAAAUAUGCCCUUCCAACUCUGGCAUGCAAAACCACUGGCUUUUCUAAAUACAUACUUGUGUGUAAUAGAACACAAUGUUGGAACACGAGUUGCAUGUGAUCAUUUCAUCCACACAAUUUGUUCCGCAAGAGGGAUGUAAAAGCAUACUGCCACCGCUGAUUUUGGAAAUUGAUAUUGCCGAAGCAAAAUUUGAUAACACCAAAGAAAAUUCAUUGUAUGGAACCAUCUUUUAGGCUAUUUGGUUAUGGCAACAGUGAAAAUUGCUCUGACAACAUCGGUGCCCGUUUUAGCAGCGGAAAGAGCGUCUCAGCGAUUGACCGACAAAACCCAAACACAAGAAAAUCUCAUGUUGGCCCAGAUUCACUGAAGCCUAAAUCAUAGAUAUAUUUAUGUUAAGACUACACAGACAUAGACUAAUUAAUUACAACAGUACCACAAACCAGGCCUGGAGCAUUCAGAAUCAGUUUGAAUGAACACUCGUGGCUUCUAAACCAGAUGCUAAAACAGUUACUUUGAACUUUACUACAUCAUUGGAGGAAAAGGUAAAAGGAAAAAAAGAAAAAAAAAAAAGAUUUGCUCAUUUCAGAAUUAGAACUUCUCAUCAGGCAAAUGUUGGAUGCUGAUGAGAAGGCUCGAAAACAGCUGAAGAUACCAAAACUAAGCACAUCAUCCCAACUGAAAAUGGAAUCCAGCAACUCCGAAAUAUAGAGGAAGACAACAACAUUCACAUCUAACAAUUCAUCUAGCCGAACAUCGAAUUUGUUUACAAGGAGGUUGGGACUAAUAUAAAAAUUUACGCCGCUAGUUUAGCAAGAAUGCCCAUGUCUAAUAUUUUCACAUCAUAUGUGUCGUCCAAUUUCACUAUGCCAUCGGUGCCAUCGAUUCCAAUGAGCUUCCCGGUGACCCCUCGGAGCGAGCUGCUCAGGAUCUUGAUCCUGUCGGAUUUCUUGGGCUGCACCAUCUCGAUUUCCGUGGGAAGAGCAAUGACAGUCUCCCCGUUUCCUGCCGCUCCAAGGGCAACCUUGCAAGAUCCGUCCUGCGAAGCAUAAUGUUUCUCUAUGUGAACAAAGCAGAAUACUAGAGAAAGAAAACAAAAUACCAGAGGAAGAAACAGAAGUGGCUGUUUAGCAUGGCCGCUAAAGCAACUAUUACUCCAAUCAGCAGUAUGUAAAAAUGUACAGAGACCACCUUAACAAUACAGUAUAACAAAAUAUACGCUUUUCUUAAAUUGGCAUCCCCUCAAUUUUUUGCAUUACAAAAUAUACCCUUUUCUUAAGAGUGGCAUCCCCUCAAACUUUUGUUUGAGGUGAUUAGAGUCAUUUUAAAUUGAGCUAGGGAUUCCAGUAAAACUAAAGGCUCCAACUGCCUGCCGUUAACUUAUUGAUGAAUACCAAAACAAAAGGCAGACAGAAACACUAAUAUUAUUUAACAAACUCCCCAAUUCAAUUGAUAAAAGUAACGCAAUUCAAAAACAGCAAAAAAAAAAAAGCUGCUGCUAUCCACAAAAAUAUAAAUCUGAGGGAUCUAUAACAAAGUGGCCUAUAGUUCGCAGGGUCUCCAUACAUUUCUACCAAGAAGUGUCGGGUAUCGAAAUGAGCUUCUUAGCCAUAAAAGCAGAAUCUCGAAUUUGAAACUUCUGCUUCUGCGGAAAAGACAAGUAGUGGUAGUGAUUUCAUAUUAAAAACUCUACUAAAACACACAAAGUUCGAACAGCUCUACUCAGUCAAAGAAGAUUAAGACUUGAAAUCGCAAAUGGAUUCAUCUACACAAUCAAGUGUGUGCAUACCGUCAGCACUUCUCUAACUACUCCAAUAUGAGGAUCCUCUCCAGGCCUAACAGUAUUCACCAAAAUGUCGGGCAUGUACCAUAUGCCAUCACCUUCGCCACCUGCACGCAUCAUACACAUAAAAAUGAGACCACUCAUCAGUCUGCAUAUCACAUUGGAUCAUUAAGAUAAUUCAUUUGGGCUAAACCAGUAAAAGAGUACACUCAUUUGAAGAAUUAUAAACGAUUAGGAGUAAUAAACUGUUCAAGCAGACAAAAAAAAGGACAAACAGACCUAUUAAAGGAGACAUCAUAUCCAUUCCAACAUUCCCAGGUGUCAUCGGCUGUCCGCCAGGAGUUCCAGGGAGAUAAGAUGCAGAAGUAGGGGUCAUCGGUUGUCCAACAGGUGUUGAUGGCAAGUAAGGGCUUGGAGCAUUUCCUGGACAAACAAAAAGAAAACAAUGUUUUUUUUAUAUAGUCCAGUUAUUUCUCAAAGCAUAUACAGGAAACCAAAAUUCUCAGAUUAAGCAUCAAGUUCUGUUACCAUAGCUGUUAUCCCUGGGAGUUGGAGAGUCAUUAUAAUUGCCACCUGGAGUGUUAGCCCAACCUGAACCAGGAGUAGGUGCUUCAUAUGGCCGGGCCGGAGGUGUUCCUGGCUGAAAUUAAUUAGCAGAGGAUAUAACAGUGAUUAAGCUUUUCAAAUCCAAGAAGAAUAAUAAUGCAUGUAAAACAAAAUAGUUUUUUCCAUGCAAUACUUUUAGCUACAGAACAAAACAGCGAAAAAAAACAGAGAGAUACAAGAAAAGGGGAGAAACACUGCCGUAGGACAAGGAUAUCAAACCUGAUAAGGCGGACUGCUUCCCCAAGUGGCAGGAUUUCCGUCUUCCCAGCUAUCCCUGGUAUAAAUUAUUGAGAUCAUGUCAGUCAGCGAACUUACAGGCUGAUAGUGGCAAUGUGGAAAAUUUUCACGAACGAUCUGAUUAUUGCGAAAUUCCUGCUUCCACGUGAAAAAUGUAGAUUUGGCUCAGCGCUACACAAUAACAACAUUAACAGUGAUGUUCAAAUCAAUUUCCUCAAUAUGGAGGAACCUGCCCCUAAUUAACACGACAAACAGGGAUAAGAAUAUCGGGAGAACCAGAGAAGUAGUCUUUUGCUGAACUCCAAUACUUCUUAGUAUUUCGGGGCAUGUGACCUUGGGACAGUAGUUUAAAAGUUGAAAAAGGUAAUGAAAAUAGCAAAGUGCAAAAUAGCACAGCCUAUCAGCCAUCAUUGCCUUCAUUUUUAUUUUAGGGGGAAAAGAUCUCAGAAACAAUUGAACUUUACCCUAUUGUAAUUAACCACAUUAACUUAGAAAGCGUUGAAGUUCAUCACCUGAGCAAUAAUUCCACUACAAUCUACCGCAAUUCCAUUAAUUAGAAGCAUCUGAGUCAAAAUUUCAGUGAAAAGAUCAAUGUACCAAUCCACAUUUCAGCUCGAUACUUAAUUUUCCUGACAAAUGUCUCAUUAAUUUGGUAGACAUAGGGUUUUCGUGGUGGAUUGCAGCAAAAAUCAUUGUUUCAUAGUAAAUUGCAAUGUUUCAAAUUUCAAGUGGUGAAUUGCGAAUUGGACAGAGUGUAAGACUUGCAUGCAAAGAUUAAUAGGAGAAACUAUAAAGGUUGUGUGACUCCAUUACGCAUAUGUUAAUUCUUCAAGUAAUAGAGAUGCCUCAUUUCAUUCAAUUACCAAUACGCAAAGCACUAUGUUACUCUUAAUCAAACUACUGGUAAAUUCAUUACUUCUUAAAACCACACUAAGAUUUCAGAGAGGCUUCAUAGGCCUAAUGCUCCAUUGUAAGAAAACAUCAUAAAAAAGAGUAAAUCAAAGAUACUUCUAAGUUCUGAUCUUAUAAGAUAUGCUCAUAUGCCAAAUAAGAGUUUUGCUAGAUUGCUUCUACUUCAUUUUUUUAUGACGGGACAUCUAAGUUGACGAUCAGCAUGGGUAGAUUUGAUCUUGAGUAUUUGAAGUCCAUGGGAUUCAAGUUUUAUGAUUUUUUGCCAUGAUCAUAAGAUAAAUGAUCAGGUGGUCUCAAAAUGAAUAGCUGAAAGUGAAAAUAUCAUAAAAAAGAUGAUACAAUUCUGAAAUUUCAUACUAGAGAUGCCAAUCUUGCUGUGCGGUGUGAAAAGAAUUUUCUACCAAAACUCCACUCAAUUUGAGAAGUUCAACACCAUCAAAUAAAUUUCAGAUCUGAGGUGUUGAACAUUUUGUAAAUAGUGAGAAGAAUUUUCUAUCAAAAUUUCUCUCAAUUUGGAUAUCUCUACACUAUUAAACGAUCAAAGGGCUCAUUAUUGCCACUAAAAUAGUUGAUUUUGGGACCCUUUGAUCACUAGGUAAAUAAUGUCAAAGAAUUAUGAAAUUUGGUUGUUGAUACUUCAAAGAGUGUAGAUCAGGUACAACAGUGUCAAUCGCCAAGUAAUGCCCCAUCAUCAAUAGUGAAGUGGAAGCACAAAGACCCCAAAUUCCUGAAAAUGAAGUGGAGGAACAAAGGCCCCUGCACUUCCAAGAGAAAUCUAGCCCAACUGGUUAAAUUAUCUUAAUCUUCAAAGGAAAGGGUUAUGCAUUUGGAUAGGCUGGGUCCUGUUAAAACUGUAUCGCAACAAAUCCCUCCCUCUUGUAACACACCUUCUCUAAGGUGCACCCCUGCACUUUUUUCUAGCAGUUCAUGUAUUUCGUCUUGUGACAAACAUAACAGUUUAAAGUGAAUGAAUGGUGCCUUUGAAUAAAAGCACACCACCAAACACCACCAUAAUUAGUAUCCUUUUCCUGACAAGGUGUCAAAGAUACGGUUCUCAUACGGCUUUGAAAAAUCAACUUGCAUAACUUCUGUCAUUGUAUACUCCUCUGACUUCAGUGGUGGCAAUGGUACGUCAGUUAGGAAUAGAUUCAAAGAUGCCCGACGGUUUAUUAAAGCAUCUCGGGCUUCUUUGUAAUCAUCAGUUGUCGGAUCCCCAUCGUUUUCAUUGCCCAGGAUUUUCUUGUUUUGUAUAUGUUUCAAUUUCCACAACCAAUGUGCCUCUUUGAUUAAACAUCUAUUUUGUGAACUCAUGUCAUUAUAAUCUGAUUCAGCAUCCAUAUUAAGUUUCGCACCCAUAUGCUUGGAUUAGAGAUUAAUGUUGAUAGCGUCUAACUUCCUCAUCAUCGGUCUCAUGACUCGACCCCUGAUCUUGUUGCUGCAUAUAUGCUUGUAUUGUGUUAGCUUCCAUGCCCAAUUGAAUUUGCAGUUGAUUAUGGCUUUCUUAGAUGUGGUCAGAGGUCUGUUUGCAUCUUUCGUGAGCAUCAGUAAAGUCUUGAAAGCAUUGGAGAAUAUGGAAACUUACGGAACUUUUCUACACCUUUCUAAGAUUUCAUAGGAACUUUCCAAUGGGUUCUGGAAAAGUUAAUGGGAUAUAGGCGAGCCUUAAGAGUUAGAAACUGACUAGCGCAUUCUCGUUUUCCCUUUUUUCAACCCCAAAACAAUAAAAGAGUUUAAAAAAAAAACAAAAAAGAACAGGAGAUAUUGGAGAAUAGUAUAAACAAAAAUUUUAAAACUAAAAGAAAAUAACUAAAUUCCUUACGAACAAAAACCUUGAAAAUAUGUUAUGCACUUAACCUUUUCGUCCUUCCCAAAUGGUGGUGUGGAUGACUCUUCACUGAUAAAAAUUGGUCUUACCUUUUUAGUUUUUAGUUUUUUACUCUUCUUCGUGAACAACAUCAUAAAUAAUUGCCACUCCCUAACGCACGUGUUAUUCUUCAAGGGAUCAAGAUGCCUCAGUCAAUUAAAUUACCACUUCUCCCAAUCCUACAUUACUCUUAAUCAAACUACUUUAAAUUUUAUUACUUCACUGAUGCGGACCGGGUCCCCUUUCGAGUGUACCAACGCCAUCAACGCUGCAAAGCAACUUGAGCAUGUGGCUCGAUCAAUUCGGAUUGGGUUCGGAUCGGGUGUUUCUAGAAGUAUCUAAGGUCAUGUGAUUUUGUUUAAAAAUCUGUUUCUUUGGAUGCAUUGAGAUUUAGUUAUUUUUUUAAGAUAGGUUGAGAUUUUGUGAGAUUUUUAUUCUAUUAGGAUAGGUUGAGAUUUUGUUACCAGAUUUUUAUCAUGUUAGAAUAGUUGUUUAAGUUGAUAUAUUAUUUUGAGCUUAUUCAUUUGUUAGGAAAGCUCUUUAAAUAAGCCUAUGUAUGGAACAAUGAAAACAAUGAAGAUGAAUAUUGUUAUAGUCAUUGAGAUGUGUUCUCUAAAUUCCUUCGCAUUUAUGCGUCGACCGGAGUGAAUCCGUGGAGAGCGAGUCCCUUUAUCUUUUUUUUUUUCUCCGCUGACUGCAUUCGUCGUCGCCAUCGUCAUCCACCAUCGACGUCAUCUCCACCAGUCUUGCCACGCCACUACCAAUUGUUGCGCUCGAGCCACCUCCCGAUCAUUUCGACGUCACUAUCAAACCGAUGCCAUAUAGCUUGUCCACCGGACUCCUAUCUCUCAAAUAACCACCCAUUGCUUUGUGUCCAUAGAAGGUGCCCAAGGAGAGGCUUGGAUCCGAUUGAUUAAGAACGGGCAGUUCUAUUUUGUUUGGAGUUACUAAUAUCGCCUGCGGAGCAUUGAAAGGUUAGAUUGACCAUCCCUAAUUUUAGUUUUGCGUCAUCUAUCGGCCCCUUCUUUGUUUUUUUUUUUUCUAGAAGUAUUUUUUUUUUCCUUUUUGGCGAGUCCAGAUUGUGGGUCCCACUGUGUUGCAUUUGAGUUGCAUUAAAGAACCCUUUAAUAAUAGGAUUUGAUUGCAUGCAAUAUUUCAUAUUUACAUUCAUCCUACAUCAAAUUUGGUAUCAGAACCCUAGGUUAAUGAAUGAACCUUAGAAGUGGCAAGAUUUAUCAACCUUUACCGAUGUCCUCAGACCCCACAAAAAUGGAACAAAUUUUACAGCAAUUAGCCGCUUUGAACGCUAAACUAGACGACAUAGGGAACCGUGUUACCAACCUAGAAACGAAUCCUGAUAAGGUCACAACACAAAACAAUGACACUACAGGAGUAGAACAAGAGGGAUCUGCUGCACACACUGCACAACCACGUGAUAUUAACGUUCGAAAUGUCUUUCAACAAAUGCCCCCAAGAUUCAAUCCUCUUUUACAAGGAAAUGAAAAUUUUAACUUUCAAGAUGACAUCACAUAAAAGGUUAAAAUUGAUGCACCAAGUGUUGACGAAAAACUUGAUUUGAAAUUAUUCACAAACUGGCUCGUCGACAUGGACCAGUACUUCAACUGGUAUGAAAUGUCUGAUAGUCAACAGGUUCGUUAUGCUAAAAUGAAACUCACCGGCGCCGCCAAGCAAUAUCGGAUUGGCGUUGAAAGACACUUAGAGCAGAUUGGCCAGGAGCCCAUCACUUUGUAGGCAGAGAUGAAGGCUAAACUGAGAGAGAAGUACUUGCCAUCUACGUACAAACAACAAUUGUACGAUCAAUUGAACACUGUAUAGCAAGGUUCUAUGUCAGUUGCUGAUUACAUGGCCAAGUUUGACGAGACAAACGUUCGUUGCGAUAUUCAAGAAGAAGAGGAAUGAAUUGUCUCCUGAUUCCGCCACAGGUUGUGCAAGUUACAGCGCGAAAUUGCGCCGCACAGGGCCGCAACCGUUGAGCAAGCUUUUAAACUCGCUUAGAAUAUGAGAAAUAUUUAAAAACACCAGCUCGACAAUUUGUUGGAAAAUUCAAUACGCCUAACGCAAAUCCAAAUUUUACUAAAGCGAAUAAUUUUCAAAAUCAUCAAAAUUCUAAUUCUAUGGGCAAGGGUUUAGCUAUAAACGACACUAAACAAGAAAACAUACAGGGUAGGUGUUAUAACUAUCGCCAUAUAGGUCAUACAUGAUGUAGGACAGAAUAUAGGGUCCUACAUUUUUAGAGGGCUCCAAAAUAUAAUUUAUGAUUUUGAAAGCUUUUUGAAAAUUUGAAAGCUUGUGAAAUAUUUUUUUUAGAAAUUUUCGAAAUUAAAAAAAUAAAAAUUAAAGAAAAUAGAAAAAUUCAAAAAAUAGAAAAAAUUAGAAAAAAUAAUCAGAACUCACUCCUGAACCGAACUCACUCUAGGGCGAAGCAUUCGCGAAGGAAAAAAGACUUCAUUGCCAAAUCAUUUAUCUUCAUUAUAAAUUCAUCCCCAUACAAAGAAGUCUUAUACGUUAUUUAUAUUAUGUUUAACCUUAUCUAUACAUAACCAACUUAGAAUUUAAUCUUAUCCUAAAUAACUAAAUAAAGCAACUUUACCUAGAGAUUAACAAAAAAAUGAAAAUUAAAAAUAAAUACGAUUGAAACAAAUAAGAGGAUAGCUAAAAAUCCUCAUUUAACUAACGAAAAAAUAUUCUCAACUAAUCUAAUCUAAUUUUAAAAACGAUAAACAAAAUCGGUUUAAUCCGAUCAAAAUAGGUUCAAGCUUGUUCUGCAUCAUUACGCUUAUGAAUGCCCCAAGUGGAACAUGUUUGUUCAGCCAGAUGGCGAUGAGUUGGAGAACUUAGAGGACGUCGCACACACAAUCGAUGAAAUUCCUAGUGAUGAAGAUAUGUUGAGAUCGAACGAGGAGUUUGAAGAAAACGUCACCUUACAAGUCAUGCAUUGUAUUUUGACCCAACCUAGGAAAGAGAAUGAUUGGAGGUGCACUUCCAUAUUUCACACCUAUACGAAAUGUAGAGACAAGAGUUGCAAGGUCAUCAUUGAUGGUGGUAGUUGCAUUAAUAUAAUAUCAGAAGCUGUCGUAGGUCGUUUAAACCUGAAAACAGAGCCUCACCCUAACCCUUAUAGUGUUGCGUGAGUAGACAAGACCAUUAUGCCGGUAAAACGACAUUGUUUGGUUCCACUUCAUUUUGCUACCUACUCCGACCAGAUUUGGUGCAAUGUCCUCCCUAUAGAUGUCGCUCAUGUUCUUUUAGGAAGAUCAUGGCUAUAUGAUAUGUCUGUCGUUCACCACGGAUUAUCCAAUACCCAUGUUUUUGCUCACAAUGGCAAGAAAAUUGUUUUGAGCCCAACAAACCCUUCUUCACAAAAAUUUUCAUCAAAAAACUCGAAUCCUACCAAAGAUUUUAAAAAUCCACCAUUAGAGAUUGAGAAAACAAAACCCCUUCAUAUUUUAAACAAAAAAAAGUUUUGUAGAGAAAUUGAUUCAAAAAUUGUGUACGCUUUAAUUGUAAAGGAGACUGCUCAAUUGACUAAUUCUUUUGAAACCCCUUUAGUAAUUAAGGAACUCCUUGCCGAAUUUAGUGAAGUCGCACCAAAAGAAUUACCUGAUAAACUUACCCCACUUAAAGACAAACAACAUGAUGUAGAUAUGGUCCCAGGGUCAUGCUUACCUUACCGCAUUAUAGAAUGAACCCUAAGGAACACGCUGAACUAAAGCGCAAAGUAGGAGAGUUGAUUAAGAAGGGCUUUGUACGAAGAGCAUGAGUCCCUACGCAAUACCGGCACUUCUUACACCAAAGAAGGACGGAAGUUUGUGCAUGUGUGUGGACAGUCGUGAUAUUAAUAAAAUCACAGUUAAGUAUCGAUUUCCGAUUCCCCGCUUGGAUGAUAUGUUGGAUAUGAUGGUAGGGGCAACUAUUUUCAGAAAGCUUGAUCUUCGUAGCGGUCACCACCAAAUUCGACUUCGGCCUAGGGAUAAGUGGAAAACUGCCUUUAAAACUAGAGAAGGGUUGUACGAGUGGCUAUUUAUGCCAUUCGGUUUGACAAAUGCCCCGAGUACUUUCAUGAGGGUAAUGAACCAAGUUUUUCGACCAUUUAUUGGCAAGUUUGUGGUAGUAUAUUUUGAUGAUAUUUUAAUCUACAGUCGUGCCGAAAACGAACACUUAAUUCACAUGCGACAGGUUUUUGAAAUCUUGAGUAAGGAAAAAAAAUUAUGCAUAUGAAAAAAUGUUCUUUUAUGCAACCCUGUGUUAUUUUCUUGGGUUUCAUUGUAUCCAAAGAUGGGGCAUUGGCUGACCUAAAAAAGGUCAAGGCUAUUAGAGAAUGGCCAGAACCGAAAAAUAUACAUGAUGCUAGGAGCUUUCAUGGCCUAGCAACUUUUUAUCGACGAUUCAUUACAGGUUUAGUACUAUAAUGGCCCCGAUUACAAAUUGUUUAAAGAAUGGUGAAUUCAAAUGGACAAAAUCGACCACAAAAGCUUUUCAAGAAAUUAAGGAAAUGAUGACAAAGGCCCUCUGUUUUGAAAUUACCAAAUUUUGAAAAGAUUUUUGAAGUUUCUUGUAAUGCCUCUGGGGUGGGAAUUUGUGGAAUAUUAACCCAAGAAGGUCAUCCCAUAGCUUAUUUUAGCGAAAAAUUAAAUAAGGCUAAACAAAAAUAUUCCACUUACGACAAAAAAAUUAUACGUUGUGGUUCAAACCCUGAGAUAUUGGCGACAUUAUUUGUUACCAAAAGAAUGUGUUUUAUUUUCUAAUCACCAACCUCCCAGUUACUUUUAACUCACAAAAACAUUUAAAUUUUCGACACGCAAAGUGUAUUGAGUUUAUUCAAGAAUAUACUUUCACUUUGAAACAUCGAGCCGGGGUAGAUAAUAAAGUUGCUGAUGCAUUAAGUCGAAUCGUAACAACCUUGCAUAAAGUUGGAGGGAGUGUAAUCAGGUUCGACAGUAUUAAGAGAGAAUAUUCCUCAUGUCCGGAUUUUAGCAAAAUCUACACCUUAGCUUUAGAGAACAAAUCCGCCGACCCAGAUUUUGUCAUUCGAGAUGGCUAUCUAUUUCGCGGUAGUCAUUUAUGUAUUCCGCAAGGCUCGUUGCAUGAUUUCAUUGUUUGGGAAUUACAUACAGGAGGUUUAGUCAGACAUUUUGGUCGAGACAAAACCAUCUCUAUGGUUAAGGACAAGGUUUAAAGUGUUGGGGCACGGGGGCGUGCCGUUGUCUGCCUGGCACGGUACGGCACCGGCACGCUUCCAUGCCGACACAUGGUACGCUUGCAUGCCGAUGGAUACGCACGACCUCCUACCAGCACGCUUUGGCACGGACUUAUUUCAAUUUUUUUUUGUUCCAAUAAGCUCUUAUAAUGUUAUUUUGAAAGAAUUAAUCAAAUAAUUAUGAAUAUAUGCUAUGUAUAGCUUACUAUACUCAUCAAUUAACAUAUUUGUAAGCUUUUUUGUAUGUAAAGUACAAUUAUACCUGAUGCAGAAUAAAAAUUUUUACAGGUUAGAAUUUUUAAAAUACAAAGACAUCUUUUUUUUCUUUUUUUCUUUUGACCAUAUUAUAGUUUUUCUUUUAUACAAUACAAAAAAAAUAAUUUUACAUUUUUUUGAAAAAAUUAUUUUAAAAAGUAUUUGAAAAAAUUUAUUUUUUUAAUUAUUUUUUUCAAAAAAUUAGUAGGUCUAUCAAAAAAAUUAAGCAAUAAAUUAUAUGACAAAUAAAUUAAAUAAAUUUAAGUAUCAAUUGAUUUAAUUUAGCUUUUAAUCUUAUCAGUAUUUUCAAUCUUCUAGCGCAAAAAUAAAAUUUAUGUUUGAUGUGGCUUAAAAUUUGUUUAUUGAGUUCGAUUUUGUUCCCUUAAUUCGCCAAAAAUUUCGUGGUGCGACAAAUUUUGAUAAAAUAAUCUGUGACUAAAAAAUAAAUAUCUGUGGUGGAAGCGGAGGGCUCGGACAAAUCUUUUGUCCGUAUAUUGAUAAAUAAAAAAAAUUAAAUUAUAAAUUUUUUGACUUAUCUAAUAAGUAAAUUUUCGAUUUGCAAUAUCUUUGGGGAGGUGUGGAGUACCCAGAAUGCUUUGGAUAUCCCAAAGAACAAAACAAAGAAAAAAAAAUAAGAAAAAAAAAUUUAAAAAAAAGCACAGUGCUAGCACAGCACUGUAACGUGGCACGCUGCACCGUGCCGCUCUGUCUCGUGCGGCACGGCGCUGCGUGCCGCGGCACGAAGGAGGGUCCGAGACCCCCCCUUACCGUGCCACCUUCAUGCGGCACGGAGCAGCAAUUUAAACCUUGGUUAAGGAUCGAUUCUUUUAGCCGAACCUCAAGCGAGAUGUUGCUCACAUCGUGGCACGAUGUGGGACGUGUCAAAAGGCUAGAGGCGGCCGAAAGAAUGAAGGAUUAUACACACCUUUACCCGUACCACAUUCUCCUUAGCAAGACCUAAGCAUGGAUUUUGUUUUGGGUCUACCAAAAACUAUUAGAAAACAUGAUUCGAUCCUUAUCGUAGUUGACCGCUUUUCUAAAAUGGCACACUUCAUUCCUUGUCGCAAAACAUCUUAUGCUACUCAUGUAGCGAAACUUUUUGUCGUUGAAAUUGCACGACUUCAUGGGUUACCAAAAUCAAUCGUGACUGAUAAGGAUGCUCGCUUCGUUAGUUAUUUUUGGAAAACAUUAUGGAAAAUUAUAAGUACAAAAUUGCUUUUCUCGUCUUCACAUCACCCGCAAACUAACAGUCAAACGGAGGUAGUCAAUAGGAGUUUGGGAAACCUACUUCAAUGUCAAGUUGGUGAGAAUGUUAAGAAUUGGGAUCUCAUCUUACCACAAGCUGAAUUCGCAUAUAAUAGCUCAAUUAAUCGAACAACCGGAAUGAGCCCAUCUAAGAUAGUGACAGGAUAUAAUCCAAACAAAGACCUAGUGAACAUGCAUCUUCAUUUGCACAACAUAUGCGGGACUUACAUUACGAGAUUCGACGAAAAAUAGUUUUAAGUAAUGAUAACUAUAAGAAAGUCGCCGAUAGACACAGGCGCGUUGUUGAAUUUAAUGAAGGAGACUCGAAAGGAGACUCGAUGAUGGUGCGGAUUAGACCCGAAAGGCUUCCGCAUGGUACUAUUAGAAAACUAUAUGCAAGAAAUAUGGGUCCGUUUACAAUUCUUAAGAAAAUUGGUUCUAAUGCUUAUUUAUUGGAUUUACCGUCUAAUAUGAGAAUUAAUCCUACUUUUAAUGUUGAAGACCUCAUCUUAUACCAUCUAGAUACACUAAAUUCAUGUCCCAAGUCCCCACCUCAACUUGUUCCGAGUAUCCCAUUACAGGAAAAGCGAGAUGACAUUGAGGCAAUCCUUGAUGAUCAGAUUGUAUCGACGAGGGAUGACGGAGAGCCCAACUUUUUGGUCAAGUAGUAAUAUCGACCGGAAGAAAACGCAACGUGGAUUUCGCAUGAUGAGCUUCAACGACUAGAUCAAAAUCUAUAUGAGAAGUACAUCUCGAACAAUUCGACGGAGUCGAAUUUCUCGAAGGCGGGGAGAGUUGAUGCGGACCAGGUCCCCUUUCGAGUGUAGGAAUGCCGUCGAUGCUGAAAACGCAACUUGAGCAUGUGGCUCAAUCAAUUCGGAUUGGAUUCGGAUUGAGUCACACUCGUUUGUUUCCAGAAGUAUCUAAGGUCAUGUGAUUUUGUUUAAAAACUUGUUUCUUUGGAUAAGUUGAGAUUUAGUUUAAAAGGAUUGGUUGAGAUUUUAUGAGAUUUUUUUUCUAUUAGAAUAGGUUGAGAUUUUGUUAUCAGAUUUUUAUCAUGUUAGAAUGGUUGUUUAAGUUGAUAUUUUAUUUUAAGCUUAUCCAUUUGGUAGUAAAGCUCUUUAAAUAAGCCUAUGUAUGGAACGAUGAAAACAAUGAAGAUGAAUAUUGUUAUAGUCAUUGAGAUGUGUUCUCUAAAUUCCUUCACAUUUAUGCGUCGACCGGAGUGAGUCCGUGGGGAGCGACUCCCUUUAUCUUUUUUUUUCUUCUGCCACAUGCAUUCGUCACCGCCAUCGUCAUCCACCAUCGACAUCAUCUCCACCACAGUCUUGCCACGCCACUACCGAUUGUUGCGCUCGAGCCACCUCCCGAUCAUUUCGAUGUCACUAUCAAACCGAUACCAUCUAGCUUGUCCAUCGAACACAAUUGUUUUUCCCUUUUAACCUUUCAAUUACCUUGUCUUAUUUUCAUGUUUACUUUUUUUCUUUUCUUCCCGACUCCUAUCUCUCGAAUAACGACCCUUUGCUUUGUGUCCAUAGAUGGUGCCCAAGGAGAGGCUUGGAUCCGGUUGAUUAAGAACGGACAGUCCAAUUUCAUUUUGAGUUUACUAAUAUCGCCUGCGGAGCAUUGAAAGGUUAGAUCGACCAUCCCUAAUUUUAGCUUUGCGUCAUCUAUCGGCCCCUUCUUUGUUUUUUUUUUUUCUAGAACUACUUUUUUUGUCCUUUUUGGCGAGUCUGAAUUGUGGGUCCCACUAUGUUGCAUUUGAGUUGCAUUAAAGAACCCUUUAAUAAUAGGAUUUGAUUGCAUGCAAUAUUUCAUGUUUGCAUUCAUCCUAUAUCAUUCACAAAAUCAUACUACAACGAAAGAGAGAACUCUUGUUUAUGGGCUCAAAUCCAUAAAAUACCCUAAUGACAAGAAGAUACUACUAGCCUAAAGUUAUUUCGAAUAAAAGUUCUUUUCCUAAUCUCAUAAAAGAAAUAAUCCUAAAUCCACUGAGGAAAAGGCCAUGCAUCUGGUUCAGGUACGCAACUGGGUCUAGUUUGAAGGCGAUUGUAAAACAAACCUUGGAGGACUCAUCGGCGCCCAUGCUCGGUUGCGCAAUGGUGUUCUCAUACCAUCAUGUAUGGGAGUUGCUGCAAAACAAAAAAUUAAAACACGAAGUCAAAAUUUAUGUAUCGAGAACAUAUUUAUAAAUGAUACACCAAGUAAACAUAUUUAUAAAGAAGUUGCAGUGGACCAUUUAUCCCCUGAUCUAGACAAGCAAACUAGACACACUACGUGAAAUGACAUAUAGAUAGAAUCAAGAAAAUAUCAGCAACAUACCCAAGAUGUUAAGUAUUAUAAGUACAUUUUUGGCAGACAUCUGACUAAAAUUUUCACCGAGCAAUGAAGAAAGAGAACCGAAAUUAAUCACUGGACGAAACCACACCUGAAGGAUCUCUCAUUGGCGUCUGAAUUGGAUGAAGUGGCGUCCGGGAUGGAUGCAUUGGAGUUUCACUACCCGAAGCAAAUCUUGAUUCACUGAUGUGUAUAAAAUGUCAGCAUAAGAAACAAAAUUUUGAGCCUCAAUAAAAAUAGAUGCAUCACAGGAUCAUUACCGGAAUGGUGUUGCAGCACCAGGAGUAUCAGAAAUCUCGUCUCUUUUAACUGCAAAUUCACUUCUUAUAUUAAACUAUGGAAAAUAUUAGAAUAAAAUAAGCUGUAAACACAAAGCUUACCUGUGACAAUCUUCAUCUGUGAAUCCAGCUCUACGCGCACAAAUCCACUGGUGAUCUCCUUAACACGGCCGCGAUACCCCUUAAAGGGACCAGAUUUAAUUUUAAUGCAUCUACCUACCAAAGAAUCAUGCCCUCUUCCACCUCCGAACCUUCCACCUCCGAACCUUCCACCAACUGCACCAAGUAAUUUUCUCAUAUGAUUAUGGUAAUUCUAACCACAUAAAACAUCAUAAUUUAGGCUGGCAAUGAAACUGAAUAAGAUCAUAUCAAGAUUUUUUAUAGAAAUUUAUGUUUAGAAUCAAAAGUUCUUCCAAAACUAAAGUCAUACAAUUUGUAGGAGGUCCUCUUGGAGGAAGCCUUCUUGGGGACUGCAAAACAUUCGAUGAAGAUCUCAAACCACCAAAUCGAGAAUCUAAUGCAUCUACACCCUGUAGUACAAUAAUCAUAAUGAAUCACAGCGUCAACCAUUAUAAAGAUUUAUAAGAAACUAAAAUGACUGGCAAAAAGUAAACAAAAGCACAAAAGCAUUUCAGGCAUACAUUCAUGCCGUGACCCCUAUUUGAUCCACCAACAACUACACAAGACUGUGCUUUAGCACAUAUAAAACCAGCAUGCUCCAGGUGGUGUCGAUCAUAGAUGAACAAGAUCCCUUUAUGUAUGUGCUCAACAGGCCCUUGCUUCCCCUAAAUGGAAGAAAAAAUAAACAAACAGUUGUGUCAAGCCGAAAGCAUCACAUAUUCAUAUACAGAAAAAGGCACCAGAAAUUCACUAAGUAGAAAAAUUAUACUGUAUCUCACCUUACAUGGUCCUUCAAUUACCCUCACAACAUCCUUAACUGACACAAUAUUAUUCGAUCGAUCUUUGGCAUUGGUUCGUCUGUCAAUCUUGCUCUUUAUUUCCCUCAGUUUAAUAAGCACGACCUCAGGUCUAUCAGGUACACCUUUGAGAACCUAAAGACAAACAACUAUUAAUUUUUUUUUUUUACCAAAUAGAAAAGGCCCAUAAUCAACUUCUGGAAUUUUCUAACUUGCCUGAAAUGCUUCACUUUCCACACGUAUAAUUACACCAAAUGACAUGUUGCUGCAGGGAAUCCAACAAAAGCAUAAGACAGAGUAAGACUGAAAACCAAUGACAAAAAACAAUGUCCGAGCAAUCUCAAAAGUAAAUCUUACUCUAGCAUCACAAGAUCAUGCAACUCGUAAUCCCCAAUUCGUGUAACCCCAGUAGUAAUUUCAGAACUUUCGACUACAUGGUCCGCAAAUACACGGAUCUGAGAUCAGAAGGAAUUAAUCUCCUGUUGAAGUAAUUCUCAUUUUCUUAAAAAGGAAAGGAAAAAAAUUCUGCUUACAUGCUCUUUUGUAGUGUCUGAUAAGAUAAUCAAAACAUGCCCCUCAACUUUUACAACCAUACCAGUUGCACCUUCUUGAACACCAGAAACUACUUUUACAUGGUCUCCAGGUUUAAAGUAUUUGCACAGCUCCUUCUCAUUGAAAGCCAAUGUUUUCUGCAAAGACAACCACAUUAAGAAUUCCACUGGAUUGAACAACUUGCAAAAAUAACUGAUUUAGCAUGAACAUAUGUUUGUUAGGUAAUUACAGGAAGGUCCGGCAUUUUCGGUCUGAUAUGGACAGUGUCCUCCUCUACUUUCUCAACCCAGCCUUCCAGAUUCUUGAGAUCUCCUCGAACAACAAUGACAGCAUCACCUUUCAUGAAAUGGCCUUUCUUCCUGUUUGCAAACAAAGUGGACAAGCUAGCCACGUCUCCAUUAACAUCAUCACCAGGUUUCCGAAAUUUCUCAAGCUCAUCAAAGGUUGGCUGAAUAUUUUGUGAGCUGAUUGACUUAAAUGAUACUGUUUUGUAAAGGAAUCCAUCUUUGAACAUUAAACCAUCAACCAUCUCGAAAUACUCCCCUGAAUCUCUGUCCCUCCUCCUCUCCACACGGAUACGCAUCUCCCUAAUUGCAUUUCAAAGAAAAAGAAGAAAAUAAAAAUUAAAUUAUGAUUUUAUUACGUAAAACUCUAUUUCAGUAUAAAUCGGUAUUGGAGCAAAAUAGUACCUUGCUUCAUCAAUGUUAAAAAACCUUGGUGGAGGUACAAAUGUCUUCUUCUUUCCAAUAUCCCUACCUUCCUGAAAAAUACUAACCUCUUCAGUACGAAAAAGCAUGAACACAGAUACAACCUCAAUCAACUAACAUUCAUAAAACAAGGUACAUACAAAACUUGUAUAAAUAUAUGUUGUUAAAAAGCAUAUCAGGCUGUGAAGAGAAAUUUUGUGAACAUAAUGUCUGGAAUUAAAAGCAACUGUGUUCUGGACACCAGAAUCACUGUUAAGGGCUCCAUCAAUAUGAUGAAUACAUAUAAUCCAGAAAUGAGCAAGUUCUGACGGUUUAACAUCAAUGAAGUAAAAUAAUGCAAGCAAUAAUGAUUAAUGAAGGAUAUAUAUAUAUAUAGAGUAGAAAGUCAGCUUUAUAUAGCAGAAAGAACAAAGCAAGUUUAAUUCUUCUUAUAUUAAAAAGUAGUAAAAAGAAAAAAGAAAGAGAACCCACCAGUUUAUUGGCAAGAGUUUGUAAAUCAACUCUUGGAAUUAGCUUAACAGUUACUCUCUGGCGCACAUUGUCAACAUCAACAACCUGCAUAAAACAGCUUUGGUUAAUAUAGAAAGGAGGUAGGAAAAGCAGAAGCUAGACAGCCCAAAAAGAAAUAGCCGUACUUUAGCAAGAUCUCCUUUAUAUAUGCCUAUCUUCAUUCUAACCCACGUAUCCCUAGCAAGAUCAACAGAUUUGCUUUCAACUGACAGAACAUCAGUCAUCUCCUUUAUAGGCACGAGCAUAAUUUUUGCUGAAGAAUAUAUAUUUCUUAGACCUUUGCAAGCCUGAAUACACCAAAUAACCAGUAAUCAAAAUCUCAAGGAUAAAGAACAAAAAAUUGCAAAAAAUUGCAUGACAAAUUGAACAUAUCCAAACCUCUUUAACAUGAGCUUCCUUUUCAGCUUCAACAUAAAUGUAGUUUUUUAGAUGGUCCAACGCGAUAGCUGACUUUAUCUGGAGAUCUGCCCUAUCUAUGAACUUUUGCAUGAGACAUAUAGCUGUCUCGCGCUCAUGACCAAUCUGAAAUCAUUAUUUUUUUAAAAAAAAAGUUCACACCUCAUAAAGCAAAAGGACACAGAGAUAAUUAGCACUAAGCAGUAUUCAUGUUAAACUGGAAAGGGAUGACACAAUCUAGGCUGUUAAUAAUUAUCUACGUGCAAAUAUAUCUGUGAGAGUAUCAAUUUCCAUAAAUGCCCCUAAAAAAAUGAUGUCGUACAUAUGUCACUGUAACCAUAAUAAAAAAAAAACUUUAAAUAACUUUCUUUAACACAAAACCAACUUCCCUUUAUGAAUUUGGAUCACUUCCCAACCUAAGAUAAGGGCAUUUUUGCAAGAAACUGCAUUUUCCAGGGUAUAUAUAUGAAAGUUUUUCGCAGGUAAUCGGGAAUACAUAUGUUAAAGCCUGAACAUGAAAGGAGUACGCGGAAACAUCAUACCGCACAUUUCACCAUCCACAACUUUGGAUCCUUCACAGAUGGCAAUAAAGCUUGUUGUUCGACUUCUGUCGCGUCAUCGCCAUAUUCCACAUGGCUUGACUUUGCAUAUCUUUCAUAUACUUGUCUCUCUAUCUCAUCGACAUCUUCCUGAUCCUCACCCAUAAGGAUGGACGGACGAUGUAACCGUCUACCCUCCUCCUCAUCAGGUAGAUCAGCUCCGGCAUCAUUGAUGAAAUCUGCAAGUUUUCUUUUACCACUUAAAUCCAUAGUUCUAGAGAUAUGUGGGAUGGAGAGAAAAGAUGCUAUAUGUAGAAGGGAUAGUGCGAAUGUAACCCUAACACUACUUUUCCUAUUAUCUCCUUCAAAUGAUGCGCUCUCACGCGAGAGCCAUGCGUGCAGAUGUACACAGAGGGCAAUUAGCAAUAAAGAGAUUAGAAAUCGACAAGCUAAUGUUUCCUAGACACUUGGCAGGGAGUAAGUACCCAAGAAGGGAGAAUUAUUAGACAUCUGUAGACUACUAAAACUAUAUAAGUAGCGAAAUUUAUAUUCAAACUGAUAAAUGCCUAAAUUUCUUGGGGAAUUAAGAAUCGAAUUUAUAUAUCAUUUAAAUUAGUCUUUGGCCGGUUUAAUUGCAGAAAAUUGAGGAAAAGGAAGAAAUUUUUGCAUUAACCACGUAGAAUAGGAGAAAAAAGUCCCCAGAUUCAAUAGAACUAUUUUGAUUGGAAACAGCAGAAAGAAAUAAAUAGAAAACUAUGGCGUAACUAUCAAUGACUUGUCUCCCCAAUCCAAUGCAGUUCUUCGCUCGAUUUUGCUUCUAUAACCAGUCCCAUUCAAUGUGCAACCAACUAUACAGGAUUAGAACCAAAGCAUGGCAGCAUUUAUCUAGACAAAGUUGGCGAAUCGGCUAUAUCUGAGUUCUUGAACCUGGAAAAAACUAAAAUUUUGAAAUUUGAGUAAUUAGAUGCAAGAUAAUUAUGCUCUCGGCAGAAUCACCAAGAUCGCUAUAAUUGGGAAUUUUGCCCCUCUACUCAAUUUCUCCUUCUAAUCGUUCAAUUUCUUUCUUCUUCUUUUCUGAAGUUGAACAAAAGGACAACAAGAUGAAUCAAGAACCGUUUUAUCAUCUUGUAAAGGAACUAAAAAAACAAAGAUGAUUGCGAAUUACCAUCCUCCCCCUCUUCAUCAUCCUCCUCCCCUUCGUCGCUGUCGACGGCCGCUUCGAGCUCGAAGAACUCCGACCCCGACCGCCGCUUCUUCCCGCGGCCGCCGCCGCCGCCGCCGCCGCCGCGGCCAAAAUCCUCAUCGUCGUCGUCCUCCUCGUCCUCCUCGUCCUCAUCGUCCUCCAACGCAGUAUCAUCAAUAAAAUCGGAUCGCCCCCGCUUCCGCCCUCCGGCGCCCUUCCCCCUCCUCACCACCUCCUCCUCCUCCUCCUCCUCCUCCUCCUCUUCCUCCUCGUACUCCUCGUCGUCGUCGUCGUCGUGGCGUCGGUUCCGAGCCAUGGCUUCUCCGAUCGGGGAUCACCUCCUCCGAAGGCUAGGUUUUGGGGAUCGACAAAGAUGGAGGAACGUGGGGCGAUGCUCUAAUUCACGAACUACAACAAUUGCGCAAAGGAACUAAAUCGUGAACAGCGAUAAAUAUCUUCGCAUGCAAAAUCGAGAAGGGUUUGGAUUCGAGAGAGGCGGGGUGGAGAGAGAGAGAGAGAGAGAGAGGAAGGGGAGCCUAAAUAAGGGGGAGUGGAGAGAUGGGAGAUGAAGCUCUAAUGAUGAUCGGAUCAUUAAUCAUGUCGUAACGGGCCAUUAGAAUGAACGGUCGAGAUUAAAGACAGAUUAAAUGGGUCGGGUUUGAUCGAUCCCGAAAUAUGUAGGGUUUGAUCAAGCCCGGCCCAAAAGAGGAUUUUUCAGAUUAAAAAUAACUUUCACUUGAACUAUAAUUAUUCUAUUUUUUUAUUUAUUUUACUGAAUUUUUUUUUUACACCAAUAAGGAAAAGAAUAAAAAAUAGUAGUUUUUUUAUUAUUCUUUCCUUGCAGAGGAUGAAGUCAAUUAGGGCGUUUUGAAAAAAAGUAUAGCACAUGAACAAAUUUAAUUUACGAUAAACUAAACAACGAAAGUAAAUAUUCACAGCUAAAAACAACUUUUAUAUUUUUUGAUUUUCGGUGAAACGAAUAUGGCCAAAGUGUUGCAACCGGCCCUGACUUUAAAUCAAGGAAGUAGCACUCGUGUGAGUUUCUGCAGCCACUUCAACUAGGAAACGAGAAAAGGUAAUUCGUGAUAAGAAAUAGGCUUAUAUAUGAAUCCUAUUUAAUCUUCCCUGUUGGCUUAUUUAUUCCUGUAAACUUAAAUCAAAAGCGUGGAAUGUUUGUUGAAACUUUUCAUAAUUCGAAUAGCCAGUGGAAAUUGCAGCAAUUCAAUUACCGACGCUUUGAAUUUUGUGGAGGGCUCUCCUCGUUGGCUUCUCUUUUACUUUUUCAGUGAAGCUUUCUGAUAAUGCUUAUAUAAAAUCACGAUAAACUAUCAAGUAACUUGAAAUAUUAUCAUUUUGACAUGACGCAAUCGAUAUUUUUAUAGUGACUCCUGCAAAAGCUUCUAAGAAGAAUUUUUUUUCUCAUAUUAUAUAUAUAUAUUUAUAUAUAUAUAUAUAUAUAUAUAUAUAUAUAUAUAUAUAUAUAUUAUAUAUAUAUAUUAUAUACAUAUAUAUUAAAAGCACGUAUAUUCAAAUUUGGGUCUGUCGCAGAACCCUUUUUCGGCAAAAAAAUUGGGCCCAUUUUUUUCUUUCCGUACGAAAAUUUUAAAUAUAAGUAUAAAAUAGAAAUAAAAACAGCAAUGAAUAUAUAAGUUCUCUAUAAUGAAAUCCUAAAUAAAUUUUUUUAUUUAAUUUCAAAAGUAAUUUUCUAUAACAGAUUACGGGUGUGAAAAUCCUAUAAAAAAUAUUUUUCUAUUUUAUUUAAAUAUCUUUUUCAGAUACUAUCUAUUUAAUUUCAAAAUAUAUUUUCUUUUUAGAUAACGGAUUUAUUUUUCUAUUUAAUUUCAAAAAUUUAUUUCCUAACAGAUUUUAUUUUUCUAUUUUAUUUCAAAAGUAAGUUUCUAUAACAGAUUACGGGUGUGAAAAUCUAUAAAGUUUUUCCAUUUUAUUUUAAAAUAUUUUUUUUAGAUAUUAUCUAUUUUAAUUUCAAAAUAUAUUUUCCUUUGAGAUAACGGAUUUUAUUUUCCAUUUAAUUUCAAAAAUUUUUUUUAACCGAUUUUUAUUUUUCUAUUUAAUUUCAAAAGUAAGUUUCUAUAACAGAUUACGGGUGUGAAAAUCCUAUAAAAGAUUUUUUCCUAUUUUCUUUCUUAAUAGCGUGAUUUAUUAUUUUAAAUUUUUUAGAUACAUAUUUGGCAAUCAUAUAAAAUAUGGCCUAAAAUUAAAAAAUAUUUUUAAAAAAUUAUAACUUUUUAUAAUAAUUAUUACAUACAUUUGCACGUACAUUUUACUAGUCUAUACUAUACUAUACUAUAUAUAAAAACACGUAUAUUCAAAUUUGGGUCUGUCGACAGACCCAUUUUUUGGCGGAAAAAUUACCGCCAAUUUUUCUCUUUCCGUACGAAAAAGUUUAAAUAUAAGAAUAAAAAUAAAAAUAAAAACAGUAAUAAAUACGUAAGUUCUCUAUAACAUAUUAGAGAUGUGAAAAUCCUAAAAUAUAAAUUUUUCUAUUUAAUUUCCAAAGUAAGUUUUCUAUAACAGAUUACGAGUGUGAAAAUCUUAUAAAAGGAGUAUUUUCCUAUUUAUUUUAAAAUAUCUUUUUAGAUAUUAUCUAUUUAAUUUCAAAAGUAAUUUUUGCAUUAGAGAUUAUUGUUAAUUAUUUCAUUUAAAGCAUAUCUUUCUUAAUAGCGCUGAUUAUUAUUUUAAAUUUUUUAGAUACAUAUUUGGCAAUCAUAUAAAAUAUGACCUAAAAUUAAAAAUAAUUUAAAAAUUAUAACUUUUUCUAAUAAUAUUAUACGUGUAUUUGCAUGUGCGAUUUUACUCAGUCAGUGAAGUUAGUAUAGGCUACGCUAAGGUAGUAUAUAGUAGUAUAGGUUACUAGGGUAUAUAUUUACGUGUAGAGCUACUAUGCUAUCGGAAGCAUAAAGUAGUUGGUGCUUUUGAUUUUUUAGCCAUUGGAUCAAACAUUCUACGAUUGCGAUGAUAGCGGUCCCCUUAGGGUUGAGUAGUCCCCCUAAGGUUUAGUGGUCCCCAUUGAUUAAUAAUAUUAAUCCAAUAAUUAUAAAUGAUCAAUAGGGUUGAUCUAAGGGCUAAAAAAUCGGAAGCACCAAUCACUUUAUACUUUUGAUAGCAUGGUAGCACUACUCUAUAUUUACUAUUAUGGAAUGUCAUCUAAAAAGAAAAUCCUAAGAUAUUUGAAUUGCUUUUGAAACAAAAUAGUGUUGUAUUGAAAUUGAAAUAAAUAUUUUGUUUUUGCAGAUUCAGAAACUAGUGUGUGUGUGCGCGCGCGCGCGAGAGCAGGAUCAAUCCUUUUGGUAAAUGAUAGAUAAGUAGUGAAAGGCGAUAAAAGUAAUUGAAAGAAGAAAUCAAUGAGAUGAAGAGCGCAACAACUCUCUGUCCAUUGUAUAUUUUUCAUUCAUCCUAAUUUAAUAUAUAUUUAUAUGAUUUAUAUGAUUCUUCUUAAACACAAAGUUGCAACUUUUCCAAACAUAGAAUAGAAUAACAUACAAUUACCCUACAUGGUACUAUUAUUAUGUCGCACAAAUUAUACCAAGCCUAUCUUCUUCAUAUAGAAGGAUAAUAGUAGUCAAUAUUUUCAAAUGGAAAGACAAUAUUUAAGACAAUAUCAAUUGCACUAAAAGAUGGAAAGUGCAAUCCUAAACAAUGGAGAAUAAAUCUUCUAAUAUUUUAUCAAUAUUUCUCCCACAUCCCCAUUAAACUCAAGGUGACAUCCUAGAUGCCAAUUUGAGUUUAAACAAAAAAUCUCUAAAUCGUAUAGCAAAAUGAGAUUUGGUGAAAAUAUGAGGAGAUUGAAUUAAGGUGGAGUGUACUCUACUAGGAGUUUCAUUAAAAAUAAUAAUCUAUUUCAAUAUGUUUAGCCCUUUUCAUUAAAAAUAAUAUUGUGUGCGAUUUGAAUAACACUUUGAUUACGACAAUAUAAUGGAGUACUUCAAUGUUGAAAGACAUUCAUGUCAAUAAUUUGCUGUUGACUACCGACCGUCCCUAAAGCAAGUGGUAAAGGGCUUGGUGGUUGGUAUCCGAGACCCAAGUUCGAAUCCUAAUUGAUUCACAUUUCUAGCUAAGUUUAUUUCUAAUGAAAUAAAUGAAGCGAGUAGCGUGAUACCUAUCUCUAAAAAAAAAAUUAAAAAUAAAAAAAAAAAACAAUUUGCUGUUGACUACACCAAAAGAUGAGAGAGUCACCUAAUAAGGAAGAAAGCUAGCGGUGGAUUUCCUACCUAUUAGAUCCCCUGUCUAAUCAGCAUCAGAGUAUGCACGAUUCUCUAGAGAAAAAAAAAAAAAAAAAAACUUGAGCCUAUGAAAAAGAGUUUUUUUAAUAUAUCUUAGAGUGCGAAGAUUAGUAGUGUAAAUUACGCAUAUGAAAUAUUCAAUCGAGUGAUUGUGAGGUAGAUAAUACUAUCCAUUAGCGGGAUGAAAUUUAUUUAAUAGUGUAUCAGCAAUUUUCCUAUCUGAGAAUCCAGCCAGAGACAAAUCUUAAUGUUACCUCAAUGCCCAGAAAUUAACUAUGUGCCCAAUCUUUCGUUUCAAAUUGUUGACUAAUAAGAGAAUAUUUGAGAUCCUAAAUACUCUAUAUAUCAUCACCAGCAGUAGGAAGUCCAUUCCUAAUCAAUUGCGAAUAAAUCUUCUUAUAUUUAGUCAAUAUUUUUUCGAGAAAGCAAAAACAAGGUAACUUUAAUUUAAUCUUGACCCCAUCAACUUCGGGUUGAACAUAUGGUUAACUUAAAGCCAUUUUUAAUUAAUUUUUAGCAACUUAACUCAGUAAAAACAUACAACUGUAAUGCAACAAAGCACGUUGAACCAUUUAUCUAUUUCUAUAUCUAUACCUAUACAUUAUUUCUCCUAAAGUUGCCACAUGGCAACUUUUCAUUCAUGGUUGAGUAUGAGCUCCACUCCAAGCCUGCUUAAGUCUUUCCUUUUCUUCUUCCUUCGGUUGUUAUCUUCGUUCAUCGGCAAGAAGAAUCUCAUUCCUCAUCAUCGCUUCUUUUAUCGCUGUUUUCUCUUUUUUUGUCGUUGUUGUUUAAUUUUUUCCCAAUUAUCUACCCGUUGCAUUCGCUUUUAUCUAUAAAGCUUUUUGAAUUAGAGAAGAAGUCAUUCACCAUAGUAACAAAUUCUUGUGUUUUUUCAUAUAACUGUUACAUUUUGACUCCAAGUCUCUAAGCACCCAUUUGGUUCGGGGUUAAGGAAUGGAAUAACCCCUUAACUCCGAAGUUAUUCCCAAACAUCCAAUUUGGGAGGUGGGGUUAGCUAACCCCACUCCAAAUGGAUUAUUCUGGGAUAGCCCAUUUGGGGUGGGAUUAGCUAAUCCUACCCCACCCCACUACUCCAACCAAACAAAGUACUAUUUUACUCACUAUUCUUCUUAUCUCAUCUAUUUCAACCAAACACUAUUUUAUCUAUACCUAAACUAAACCUAAUUCUCAACCAAACACAAAAUUAUUCUGACCUCACAUUAACCCUGAACUUAAUUCUAUUCCUGAAAUAACAAGUUUUUAUUUAACCCCGAACCAAACGGUGACUAACUUUAUGACUUAUAGCGACACUAGCAAUGGGUCGAACUCCCGACCUCUUAUU